rnacentral:lncRNA from 1 species
CUCGCAGUACUUCCAGAGAGAAGGAGCCAAUCCCAGGGCUCAGAGUCACGGCCUCUCCUCCCCCUCCACAGGCUGAGUUGCCCCUCCCAUUCUGCCCAGGGGAAGAGUAGGAGGCAAAGUGUGUUGUUUUAGUGUCGGUGGGGUUGGGGGGGGGCGUACAGAACUGUCACACACACACACACUGACCCCGCCACACACCCCGAAGGAGUCCAACACACACUCUGCCACACACACUCACCCCGAAGAAUCCAACACACACCCUGCCACACACACUCACCCCGAAGAAUCCAACACACACCCUGCCACACACACACACCAAAGCAGAGAAAACACACAGUACUUCCCAAAACAAAAACAACAAGUCAACAACACAAGACCGAGGAACACGAAAUGGAGAAAAACAAAGGACUUAACGUAAUGAAGCCAGAGGAUGAGAAGACUUGAGGAAUUGAACAUGAAGGUGAAUAUGUAAGAAGAGGAGGAUGAGAGGAACGAUCCUCCGUGCUGCUUCUUCUACUGCUCAGAGUACAGCAGUGAUUAGGGUCGCUUUGGUCUCAGCUGAGUGGAUAUGGUUUGAACAGGAUUUGCUGUAUCAGUGAGCUCUAACGGGAGUGGGGGGGUAUGAGGGGGUAUGAGGGGGUGGGGAAUGAGAGCCUCUGCAUCCCCAGGCUAGAGAACGGUCAUGUUUAAAGUGACGGAGGGAGGGAUGAGGGGGUGGGGAAUGAGAGCCUCUGCAUCCCCAGGCUAGAGAACGGUCAUGUUUAAAGUGAGGGAGGGAGGGAUGAGGGGGUGGGGAAUGAGAGCCUCUGCAUCCCCAGGCUAGAGAACUGGCAUGUUUAAAGUGAGGGAGGGAGGGAUGAGGGGGGUGGGGAAUGAGAGCCUCUGCACCACCAGGAUAGAGAACUGGCAUGUUGAAAGUGAGGGAGGGAGGGAUGAGGGGGGUGGGGAACGCGAGCCUCUGCACCCCAGGAUAGACCCUAACCCUAGACUGAGCUGUAGAACUCUGCAUUUUUCAUAUUGCACCCUAACCAUAAGCCCUAACCUUGACUCCCAACCAACAACUCAACCUCUAAUCUUAACCAACACCUCAACCCCUAACCCCAACCAACACCUCAAUCCCUAACCCCAACCAACACCUCAACCCCUAACCCCAACCAACACCUCAACCCUUAAUCUUAACCAACACCUCAAGCCCUAACCCCAACCAACACCUCAACCCCUAACCUUAACCAACACCUCAACCCCUAACCUUAACCAACACCUCAACCCCUAACCUUAACCAACACCUCAACCCCUAACCCCAACCAACACCUCAAGCCUUAACCUUAACCAACACCUCAAGCCCUAACCUUAACCAACACCUCAACCCUUAAUCUUAACCAACACCUCAAGCCCUAACCCCAACCAACACCUCAACCCCUAACCUUAACCAACACCUCAACCCCUAACCUUAACCAACACCUCAACCCCUAACCUUAACCAACACCUCAACCCCUAACCCCAACCAACACCUCAAGCCCUAACCUUAACCAACACUUCAACCUUUAACCUUAACCUUAACCAACACCUCAACCCUUAACCUUAACCAACACCUCAAGCCCUAACCUUAACCAACACCUCAACCCUUAACCUUAACCAACACCUCAAGCCCUAACCUUAACCAACACCUCAACCCUUAAUCUUAACCAACACCUCAAGUCCUAACCCUAACCAACACCUCAAACCCUAACCUUAACCAACACCUCAACCCCUAACCUUAACCAACACCUCAAGCCCUAACCCUAACCAACACCUCAAGCCCUAACCCCUAACCAACACCUCAAGCCCUAACCCCUAACCAACACCUCAAGCCCUAACCCCUAACCCCAACCAACACCUCAAGCCCUAACCUUAACCAACAGCUCAACCUCUAACCUUAACCAACAGCUCAACCCCUAACCCUAACCAACACCUCAAGCCCUAACCCUAACCAACACCUCAAGCCCUAACCCCUAACCCCAACCAACACCUCAAGCCCUAACCUUAACCAACAGCUCAACCUCUAACCUUAACCAACAGCUCAACCCCUAACCUUAACCAACACCUCAAGCCCUAACCCUAACCCUAACCAACACCUCAAGCCCUAUCCCCAGCCAAUAGCUGAAACAUUGACCCCUAGCUAACGACCCUACCGCUGUACGUGUCCAUUUCUCUACCCCACACACACGUAUGCACGCGCAGAUAAACACACGAGCCAUAGAAUAGUGUCUAUAGGAUGCUAAUCCAUUGUUUCCAAAUCAUAUUUGGAAUGGAAUGGAUUACAUACUGAGCCUGGAGAAUCAGACUAUUUAAUCCAUUGCAUGCCCCCCCCUCCCCCUCCCAACACACACAUACACACACAUUUGUUCAUUACAGUGCCCAGACCUGGCACCUGAUCCCCAAUUCAAUUACCUCAUCAAUCAGUCACUCAGGCAGGUUACGGUACCAAUACGGUACCAAGCAUACACUAACGACACUAAAGUUAUCUUCCUCAAAGUGUACAGUAUCUACAGAAGUCAACACUUCAGGGCAGGAAUGGGCACUUCACUAGGCCACUAUGCUGAAGUGCACACUAGGAAACACUAAGUUACAUAAUACACAAGAAUAGGACAAUGCAUUAUGAAUAGAUUAUUAUCAAUAUGAUGUGAUGUGAUACUGUUAUGACACGCUAUAGAGAUGUACACAACAGAGCAAUAUACAGGAGGGUUGUUGAUGCCCAGGUACACUUCACGCCAGAAGAUCACCUCACAGGACAGAGGGGGGUUAAAACAGUGUAAAGAAACCCCUGAACCCCUGACAACCUGGUUGAUAUGUUCCAUUUAUAGUUCAUUAACAUUGAGCUGUUCUUGUUGCACCUGAUCUGACCUCUUAGAUACUGAAUCUAAAACACAACAACGCUCCUCCCACACACACACCCUUAUAUACACACACACACACACACACCCUUAUACACACACACACACGCACACACACACACACACUCUUUAUACACACACACACACAGCCUUACACACACACACACACACACACACACACACACACACAAUAUAGUUUUGUUUUGUUUCUAAUCUGUAUAUAUGACCCUACUUUUCACUCUUUAGUAAUAAGGUACAAGCAAUGAUUUCCAGAAUGCAAUUCUCUGUGUCACCGGGCCAUGUUCCCGUGGGAAAUGCUGGUGAUUGACUGAGAACGUGUUGCACAUUCCUUAAGCUCAGGACUUAUGGGUAGUGUAGUUUUGUGGAUCUUGGUGUAAGGUAGUCUUGUUCCCCAGAAGCCAGGAACAUGAGGUUAGCUAGGUUAUAAGGUAAAGGAAGUGUAGCCUAAAUGUUCCCCUUGUAGAGUUUAACAUAGGGCAAGCCUGUCUAGGAGGGCCUCUUGGAAAAUGGCCCACUACAUGCUCUGUGCUCAGACAAGAUGUAUGGAUGACUUUAUCAUCUACAUGAUCAAUCAGUCAACAGAUCAAUCAUGUAUCUGUCUCCCUCCUCUAGUUAGUCUGGGGGUGGGUUAAAGUGCUGUUUAAAGAGAAACCUCCGAAUAAUAAUACCUAACCAUUCCCUUUACUUCACUCCCCCCUUUAGAAGCUAAAGCAUGUUUGUAUGGAUAUAUCAUGGGAUAUAUGGACGUCUCAUGUUUGUAUGGAUAUAUCAUGGGAUAUAUGGACGUGUCACGUUUGUGAAAUGGCUGCAAUUUGAGCCGACAGGAAAGGGCGGAGUCACAUAGUGUUUACUGAUCAGUGAUUGGGAGAACAUUGGAAGUGACCUCAUUGACUACCCUCUUGCAACCUAUCGGCUACUUUUUAGUUAGUUUUAACCCCAGUUUUAGAGCAUUUACUCUCUGUUGUCUGCUGUGUUGUGAAGGCACCAGAUGAACUAAGACCACUGGACCAAAACACACUGAGGCUGGAAUUUAACUUAGAUUGAAUUCCGCACAGAGGGUCCAAACACGACUGUUUCGUAUACAAGUGGUCAGGUUGUGUACAGGCCAUCGAUGAAUCGCCUCCAUCUCUUUCGGUCUUUCCACUCCAAACCCUCUGCCUUCAUCUCCUGUCCUGUGCUGUCUCCAGACGCUUGCAGGUCCAGAUGAAGACAAUGAUGAAGAAGACGAUGCUUCCUCUCCAGCUGAUUGUGAUCGUUUGUCUGUCUUAUGGACAGGCAGAUGAUUCCACCAAUAAGCACUCCAUCUCUGAUUACAGCUGUGGCCCUCUCUUUAGCCAUUUCUCUUGCCUGUCUGCCAAGGUGGGGAACCUGAGGAGGGAGGUUGAGGACUUGAGAAAGUCACGCAACUGUAAGUCUCUUUGGAUUUUUAUAUAUUCUUUCUUAAUAUAAUAGUAACUAGAUGGACCAGAUAUACAUUUACAUUUACAUUUAAGUCAUUUAGCAGACGCUCUUAUCCAGAGCGACUUACAAAUUGGUGCAUUCACCUUAUGAUAUCCAGUGGAACAACCACUUUACAAUAGUGCAUCUAAAUCUUUUAAGGGGGGGGUUAGAAGGAUUACUUUAUCCUAUCCUAGGUAUUCCUUAAAGAGGUGGGGUUUCAGGUGUCUCCGGAAGGUGGUGAUUGACUCCGCUGUCCUGGUGUCGUGAGGGAGCUUAUUCCACCAUUGGGGUGCCAGAGCAGCGAACAGUUUUGACUGGGCUGAGCGGGAACUGUGCUUCCUCAGAGGUAGGGGGGCCAGCAGGCCAGAGGUGGAUGAACGCAGUGCCCUUGUUUGGGUGUAGGGACUGAUCAGAGCCUGAAGGUAUGGAGGUGCCGUUCCCUUCACAGCUCCGUAGGCAAUAACCAUGGUCUUGUAGCGGAUGCGAGCUUCAACUAGAAGCCAGUGGAGAGAGCGGAGGAGUGGGGUGACGUGAGAGAACUUGGGAAGGUUGAACACCAGACGGGCUGCGGCGUUCUGGAUGAGUUGUAGGGGUUUAAUGGCUAAGGCAGGGAGCCCAGCCAACAGCGAGUUGCAGUAAUCCAGACGGGAGAUGACAAGUGCCUGGAUUAGGACCUGCGCCGCUUCCUGUGUGAGGCAGGGUCGUACUCUGCGAAUGUUGUAGAGCAUGAACCUACAGGAUCGGGUCACCGCCUUGAUGUUAGUGGAGAACGAC